CUGAGAUUACAAAGCCUCGUCAACGCGAAAUCUUCUUAAGCUGCCAUUCCUGAACGCAUAAUCGGACGGACUCUGCGUAGACGGAUUUAUUAGGGCAAAUACCAGAGAUUAUUUUCUCGGUAAAAAAGCGAUGCGAUUACCAAGUUGUCAGCGUAAUCGCAAAAACAUCUCACAGAAACUACAAACAUGCAUGCAAGCUAAAACUUCGCGCUCCGGCUCCUGGAGAAAGAACAACACCGUACAAUGUUCAUUGAAAGAAAAAAAAAAAGAAACAAGAAGGAACAAUGAUAGCCCGUCAGGGAGCAAUGAGAGAGGAAGACGAUUCAAACGAAGUUGAAAAAACGAUUUACAGAUGAUAACGACAACAGAGUGCUUCGGAAGCUACCUAAUGGCUUUACCCGAGCAUUUCCUGAUAGAAUCAUCCUUCUGCUUAUCCAGUCGCCUGUAGUUUCUCACCGUCAUCCUUCAUCGAAUCCAAGCUUCCUUUUGAUAAACACGAUCAAAACUUAUCGUUUGAAAUAACAUUACCCUGCCGUGCUUCAUCCGUUUUCUUUGUUCUCCGGAAAGAGUCUUGGUUAAUUACCCUCUGAAGGAUUCCAAGCGGCAUUAUUAGGAGAGUGUAGAAAAAACGAAGUUUUCACUUCUUCUAACAAACCGGGCAAACCGAC